rnacentral:lncRNA from 10 species
UUCAAACAUCACCUUCCACAUGAGGAGCCUCCAGCUUCUGCGGGCAGAGGGGCACUCACCCAACUGUGACUACAGCACUUACACAAGCCACCAACUGGCACCCACAGCACUUAUCACUCCAUGUGUCUGCUCAACCAGCCUGGACAGGGUCUCUCUCUGUUGCCCCAGAUGGAGUGCAGUAGCGCAAUCUUGGCUCACUGUAGUCUUGACCUCCUGAACUCAAGCAAUCCUCCCGCCUCAGCCUCCCCAGUAGCUGCAACUACAAGCACGCACCACCACACCCGGAUCAUUUUUAUUUUUAUUUUGUAGAGCUGAGGUCUCACAAUAUUGCCAAGGCUGGUCUCAAACUCCAGGCCUCAAGUGAUCCUCCCGCCUCGGCCUCCCAAAGUGCUGGGAUUAAGACGUGAGCCACUACACCUAGCCUUCAUAAUCUUUUAAAAUAUUAACUGUUUUCUGCUUUUAUUAAUAUUUAUUAUUGCAGUUUCUCUGAUGACUUUCUUUGUGAGUGUGUCAUAAGGAAGGCCAUGG